rnacentral:misc_RNA from 1 species
UCGUGCACAGGCGCGUCUCAAGGAUUCUUGCAGCAACUUAACGCUUCGACGAGCGCUUUCUCGCGCUGCGAGGGAUCCCACCACGCCAUCCCACCACGGCAUCCCACCACGCCAUCCCACCACGGCAUCCCACCACGCCAUCCCACCACGCCAUCCCACCACGCCAUCCCACCACGCCAUCCCACCACGCCAUCCCACCACGCCAUCCCACCACGCCAUCCCACCACGCCAUCCCACCACGCCAUCCCACCACGUCCCCCCCCCCCCCCCCCCCCCCCCCCCCCCCCCCGACUUGCCCAUCCAUCCGUCAUCUCCGGCGCUCUCGAUGCCCACAAAGCGGCCGGCUGAGGCGCCUCUUCACCGCUCCGACGCCGACGCCCCGUCGUCGACGCAUCACACCCCUGGCACUGCUGUUGCCAGUGCCGGCGCCACCCCGACCGCGGCAGCAGCGGAGGCGGCGGCGCCGAAGGUGAUCAUGUCGAAGGCGCAGCGGCGUAAACUGAAGAAGCCACCGGUGGUGGUGACGGCCGAGAUGAAGGAGCGGGCGCGGGAGGAGACUCGGGAGCUGCGCAAGCACCUCCGCAUUCUCAAGUCCAACGGUGCCCGGCGGAAGGUGGCGAAGCUCCGUGAGAAGCGCCCGCGCGAGCACAACAUCAAUGAGGAAGCUGUGAACGCCUUCGACACGGACUUCCGCCCGCAUAAGAAGGGACGCCGCCUCGAGUAAGUGCGAGGGGAGGAGGAAGUCGGCGAAGGCCCGCCUCUCCGUGCCUUGCGCACAUGGGCUGCCUGUGGACGCAUACUUGCGCGCACGUGUGCGUGUGUGGCGUUCGACGCCCAUCACACUCAUCUCUAUUUUGUUCGUGUCUGGCGGACUGGGCAAGCCCGAGUAAUGCAGCUGCCUAACGGAGUUGUGUCAAGCCAACGAUCAACCACGAAUUUACACCCUCACGCACCGCGCAGUCGGUGGUGGACGUCGUCGGAGUCGUAGGGAGGGAUGCAGAAGAGCUGCGUGUUUCUCCCGUCGAUGCACACGCACGCGCACAUCACCAUCGAUGCCCCUCCCCCCUUGAUCACUCGCGAUGGCUCUCCGGAUGUGUGUAUGUGCAUGUCCAUGCCUACGUCAUACAGCGCGUUUGUGGGUAACACCACGCGUGUGUGCGCGCGGAUGUAUGAAUUUAUAGAUGCCACGCCCAUCCGCUCUG